AAAGUCAGACAAUGAAGGAAUCCAGACAAUGCUAAAGGGAAAGUUAAUGACUAAGGCCUGAAUAUUAAGCUGGUUAUCCCCAGUGUGUUAACAAUACUUUGCUGGUGGAGAUCAGAAGAAUGGAGCCAGUGGCUGACUUAUUUUAAAAGGCUCUCUCCUCCUCUUAUAAGAAUUAUAGGGACCCUCAGGUACGAAUGGACCCCCUGCACUGGUCUCUCUCAAGGAAGGAAAUCCCUUCACCCAAAGGAUCUCAUGAUCCUUCGUUCUUGAUGGAAUGGUAUAGGCAAUGCACCAGGCAGGAACUGACAUAGAGGCAAUGCUGAUCUCGGCCACAUUUUCAUGGAUCAUAGAAUGAUAGAGUUGGAAAGGACCCCAAGGUUCAUCUAGUCCAGGGGUCGGCAACCCACGGCUCCGGAGCCGCAUGUGGCUCUUUUACACCUUUGCCGCGGCUCUGGGGCGGAUGCUAGCAAGGGGAGGAGGCGCAUUGUGCGCCCCGACACUCCCCACUGUGGCGGGCGCUGUACUGGCUGUGACGUCACAUGAGGGCGGUGCGUGCGUUAGUCACGCACCGUCCCAACGUCACCUUCCCACCCGCCCGCCCUCUACAUUGUAAGGGGCAUGUACGCUGGUCACUGCAUUGAAAGGGGGCAUGUACGCUGGUCACUGUUUUGAAGGGGAGUGAAGAACACACACACACAAAAAGGUAACUUGUUAAUUUAACGUUUAUUUCUAUGAGGAGGAGUAAUUCUGAGGGGUCAAACAAAGAAAUAAUAAAAAAGUGACAAAAAAGUUAUUUUUAUAAUGACGAGUUUUGCAGCUCCCAGUUUUUUUUUUCUUCGGAAAUGGGUCCAAGUGGCUCUUUUUGUCUUAAAGGUUGCAGACCCCUGAUCUAGUCCCACCCCUUGCAAUGCAGGAAUAUGCAGCUGUCCCAUAGGGGGAUCAAACCUGCAACCUUAGUGUUAUCAGCACCACACUCCAACCAACAGAGCUAUCCAGGCUGACAUUUUGCCUUCACCGCUCCCUACUGUGUUGUGAUCAUUGCCCUUCCCUGCCCUACAUAUAAACUUCCCCUUCCCAUUAGCAGACUUUGUGACAAAGCACUAAUUGUACACUGCUCAUCAGUUGCGUUCCUUGAUGCACAUUUAUAGAGGGCUUUCCAUUUGCAGAGCAGCUUGUGUUGUAUUUGUUUGUUGUAUUCAUACCCCACCUCUUAACCAAAAAGGUUAAUGAGGCAGCUCACAGCAUAUAAAAACAAAUCACUAUAAAGCAUUUGGAAGCGAGAGAGAAAACAAAUAAUAAGGAAAGCAAUCAGUAACAGAAAUCAAAUAAACAGCAGCAUCAAAACAUGUUAAAAGCAGCAGGGGGGAAAUGGUGCAUUUAUAUUCUUUCUAAAGGUGAGCAAAGGAGGAUCUGGAUGAAGGGACAGGAGGCAUUCUCUGUACAAGGUGCCAUAAUAAAAAAGACCCUGUUCUUCAUUGUCACCCUUCUCUUUUCAGAAGCUGGGGCCAUGCUCAUCUUAAUGGUCAAGCAGCCUUGUGUGAGUACAAGCAGGGGUGGGAGACCUCCAUUUAUUGCUGGGUUGCAACUUCCAUCUUCCUUGACUGUUGGCUGUGCUAACCAGAGCUGGUGGGAGCUAUAGCCAAACAUAAUGCCAAGGUUGCAGGUUUGAUCCCCAUAUGGGAGACCCGUGUAGAGAACAUUGCAAUCAAUCAAUCAAGACUUUGGGCCCAGCUCUACCAUUAAACAGAGUGAGGCAGAUGCAUCAGGCAGCAGAGGAGAUGUGGGCUUUCUUGCCUCACAAACCAAACCAAUUGGUCUGAUUAUGUAUCUUGGCUUUGGUGGGUGAAGGAGGGAGGCACAUGUUGCUUCCUCUCCAGCAGCAGGCAGGGCCUGCUAGAUAUGCAGCAGUUCUCACAACAAUCCUGUAAGGCCAGUAUAUUUAUUGCGAGGGAGGAGGGCUGAAGCUGGGAUAACGGUGUCUUGCCUAAGGCAGCCUAGCGAGAUGUUAAUUCCGGUGAGUUGUGAACCAACAACUUUCUAAAUUGUAUACCUAUUCACUAUGUUGGCAUCCAUGCUGAAGAGGGCGGACUCUAUCCAUAUACAUCUCCACAUGUGAUUCUGAGCCUCUGGAUUCACAUCCCAUAGCAGGUGACUCAGGGUUCAUUCACACUUCACUUGUCCCACAUCUAGAAAGCAUGGGGCAGAGAUGUUUCCCUUGUCGCAUACUCUCUAGGAACAGUUCCAAGUGGUUUUCCAUUUGUGCUGCCACUCUCCCCGGAAAAACACACUCUUUACCAUUAAAUGGUCAACCAGCAAAAAGCCCGAUUGACCUUUACUCCAAUUCAACAGUAAAAAGUGGGAAAGUGGCAGAACAAGUGGAAGCGUGGAUGAAUGCUCAGAGGCAUGUAACUUUCAAUCUGCUGGCACACCUUGCUGCCAGUCUGUAAAAAAAAUUGAAACUGGAGGUGUCAUGAGAAAUGAUGUCAACAAAAGUGGGUACCCCUGUUCAAUUCCUCAUGAGUACAUUCAAGCCAGCAAGCGUCACUUUGACUCAGACAUUAAGUAUCUGCUUCCACGUCCUCCACUACCACCAACCCCAAGAGCCAAACUAUCUUGGGAUAUUGGGGGUAAAAAAUGGAGGCAGGUAGUGGUUUCUUGCUUGAAAGAAAGUAGCAGGUGUAUCAUAUCCCUGGCAGAGCAUUCUUUCUUACUGAGGAUGUAACUGGGAAAGCGCAGCAUCCCUAGAAGGAAAAUGAUGCUGUUCCAUUUCUACCAGGGAGAAAGCCCUUUGGCAUCUAUAUGGUCUUCUCCCUGAUGGAAAUUAGUGCCUAUAGAACCACAUGGGAGUGCUGGGAGCUGUCGUCUGGGUCCCAUUCCAGCAAGAAAGGAUCCUCCACCUGUUACUGCCCAUGCAUCACAUAUGAGUAGCUUCAAGGCUCCUUUCCCCCACCAAAAGGAAGCAUUAUGGGCCCUUGUAGUGGAGGGAGUGGAAAAAUCAAUUUGGCCUCUUGCAAAGUCUCAAGUCUCAAGCACUCAAGCAAAGUUUUGGGCUUUUGCUAGUGCUCAGGCCAAUAUCUGGCAAACACUCGAUCCAUUUCAAGCAAAGGGAUGCUUGUGCAUCCUUCUUUGAAAUGGGAGAAAGUUGCUAGUUUUGCAUAGUGCAUGUGAUUAGCCAAACGCCACCUUCUGACUCAAAAGCCUGAAUUUGAGUUCUGAGCAGAAAACUUUGUAAAUGUUGCUGGAUUUGAAGAGCUUUUUUAUCCAAGGGCAUGCAUAACACUUCCUUUACCAAAAAAAAUUGUACCCUAUGCAAAACAAAUGCACACACACAGAGACACACACAUUAGAUAUACCCAGAAAUGGGCUGUUAGUAUGCAAGAGGCUCCCUGCUGCUGCAUAAUCUGUUAUCACUCACUCUCAGUGCACUUUAUUCAAAGUGUGCACCCAACCUUAGCUUUGCAAAAAAAUAUGCAAAGGUCAAAAUAACAAAUUGCUUAGAGAUUAUAAAAAUCCCAUUUCCCAUUCGCUGGAAUCUAUUCCCAGGAAGCUUCUAGUAAUUUGUUGUUUUCACCUUUCUAUAUAUUUUCAUUCUCUGCUUUGCUGAGGAAACCUGCAAUAUGAGGAUCCUUUCAUUUCCUCCUGCUGCAAAAGUUAGGAUUAUUUUUUUUAAAAAAAAUUAUGAUGAUGAUGACAGGGGAAACCCAUGUAAAACUUUUGGGUUCCAAUCCACUUAAAAUUAGUCAAGACUAACCCUUUGAAAGAGACACGGGUGGUGCUGUGGGUUAAACCACAGAGCCUAGGACUUGCCAAUCAGAAGGUUGGUGGUUCGAAUCCCCGUGACGGGGUGAGCUCCCGUUGCUCAGUCCCUGCUCCUGCCAACCUAGCAGUUCGAAAGCACGUCAAAGUGCAAGUAGAUAAAUAGGUACCACUCCGGCGGGAAGGUAAACGAUGUUUCCGUGUGCUGCUCUGGUUCGCCAGAAGCGGCUUAGUCAUGCUGGCCACAUGACUCGGAAGCUGUACGCUGGCUCCCUCGGCCAAUAAAGCGAGAUGAGAGCCACAACCCCAGAGUCGGCCACGACUGGACCUAAUGGUCAGGGGUCCCUUUACCUUUAACCCUUUGAAAAGAAUAGAACAAGCUGAUCAUGACUAAUGCCAUUGUUUCCAAAUGGGACAAUGUCAAAUUGGACAUGACACCAGACAUAAGAGAAUCUCCCAAGCACAAGAGAUGGGUUAAAGAAGUCACCCCACCCCACCUCCCAGAGCAGCUAGCUCAGUCUCUGCACCUGGCUAGUGUUUCCAGGCUGCUUCAAAGGGUCUUCCAGGACCUUUUAAGCCCACCCCAGGCUAACUCUCAGCUACCUUUCUCCCCACCUCCCUGGCCACCAAAGCAAAUAGCAUCUUGCCUCACCAUGUCAUCUGUCUUGUUUCAGAUAAGCUCAUGUGUUACCUGACAAUUAAGAAGCAAAGAAAAUGGAUAUGAACACCCGUAAGGGACAAGGGAUGCAACUUGCCACCCUACUAUAGCAUGAGUUGGUUGGGAUACAACAGAGCUGUAAUUGAGAUUCUGAUAAGGGAAGGGUACCAUUUAGUAAAGUGUUCCCUCAAACAGUGUGAAUGAUCUGACAAGGGAGAAGAAUGCCAGGGUGGAAUUAAUCACUACCUGAAAACAAUUUCACACUAGACUAAACAGGGGAAAGAUUUUUUUAAAAAACCUCAGAUGCCUUGUAUGGACUGUUUGUAACCCAAGCUUUGGUAAUAAAACAAACAAAAAAUACACAAUUAACAUGAACUGUGACCAAGAGGCUCUCAAUAAGUAAAGACAACAUUCCAAAGGCAGAAAGUGUAAGGAGCAGGCCUAUUCUCGUGAUAAAUGUUUACUGAAAAUGCUGUGGUUGCUCCAUAAUUUCUCCUCAAUUUCUUUCCUCCCAUGAAUUCAAGAUGACCCUACCUGCCCACGGACUGUCUCACCAGAGUGGUGCAUGCUCUAGUCAUUUCCUGCUUGGACUACUGCAAUGCGCUCUAUGUGGGGCUACCUUUGAAG
rnacentral:lncRNA from 1 species